ACUCCUACGGGGAGGCAGCAGGUAGGGAAUGCUGACAAUGGGCGCAAGCCUGAUCCAGCCAUGCCGCGUGAGUGAUGAAGGCCUUAGGGUCGUAAAGCUCUUUCGCCAGAGAUGAUAAUGACAGUAUCUGGUAAAGAAACCCCGGCUAACUCCGUGCCAGCAGCCGCGGUAAUACGGAGGGGGUUAGCGUUGUUCGGAAUUACUGGGCGUAAAGCGCGCGUAGGCGGACUAGUCAGUCAGGGGUGAAAUCCCGGGGCUCAACCCCGGAACUGCCUUUGAUACUGCUAGUCUAGAGUUCGAGAGAGGUGAGUGGAAUUCCGAGUGUAGAGGUGAAAUUCGUAGAUAUUCGGAGGAACACCAGUGGCGAAGGCGGCUCACUGGCUCGAUAC
rnacentral:rRNA from 1 species